AAGAAGAAGUUAACCAAGAAGAAAGAUGCGAUUUCUCCACAGAAAUGUAAUUUGAUGUUGGUCUUCGGUUUGUGUGUGCGAUGAUGGAUGAGAAUCCUCUCUCUUCUUCUUCUUCUCUCUCUUCUUCUUCUUCUUCUUGUUCCGUUUUGGGGGCGAGAGGAAUGGCAGUAGAAGAAGAAGAGGAAAGAGAAGAAGA
rnacentral:ribozyme from 13 species